rnacentral:rRNA from 1 species
CCUACGGGGGGCUGCAGUGGGGAAUAUUGGACAAUGGGGGCAACCCUGAUCCAGCCAUGCCGCGUGGGUGAAGAAGGCCCUCGGGUUGUAAAGCACUUUCAGUGAGGAAGAACGCCUGGGUGUUAAUACCCAUCAGGAAAGACAUCACUCACAGAAGAAGCACCGGCUAACUCCGUGCCAGCAGCCGCGGUAAUACGGAGGGUGCGAGCGUUAAUCGGAAUUACUGGGCGUAAAGCGCGCGUAGGUGGCUUGAUAAGCCGGUUGUGAAAGCCCCGGGCUCAACCUGAGAACGGCAUCCGGAACUGUCAAGCUAGAGUGCAGGAGAGGAAGGUAGAAUUCCCGGUGUAGCGGUGAAAUGCGUAGAGAUCGGGAGGAAUACCAGUGGCGAAGGCGGCCUUCUGGACUGACACUGACACUGAGGUGCGAAAGCGUGGGUAGCAAACAGGAUUAGAUACCCCAGUAGUC